rnacentral:rRNA from 1 species
GGCCGAUAUUAUUGAGUCUAAAGGGUCCGUAGCCGGCUUUGCAAGUCUCUCGGGAAAUCCAGCGGCUUAACCGUUGGUCGUCCGGGGGGUACUACAUUGCUUGGGACUGGGAGAGGUAGGAGGUACUCAGGGGGUAGGAGUGAAAUCCUGUAAUCCUUUGGGGACCACCGGUGGCGAAGGCGUCCUACCAGAACAGGUCCGACGGUGAGGGACGAAAGCUAGGGGCACGAACCGGAUUAGAUACCCGGGUAGUCCUAGCCGUAAACGAUGCUCGCUAGGUGUCACAACAGUCGUGAACUGUUGUGGUGCCGUAGGGAAGCCGUGAAGCGAGCCACUUGGGAAGUACGACCGCAAGGUUGAAACUUAAAGGAAUUGGCGGGGGAGCACCACAACGGGUGGAGCCUGCGGUUUAAUUGGACUCAACGCCGGGAAGCUUACCGGGAUCGACAGUUGUAUGAAGGCCAGGCUGAAGACCUUGCCGGACUAUCUGAGAGGAGGUGCAUGGCC